rnacentral:rRNA from 1 species
AACACGUGAGUAACCUGCCCCCUACUCUGGGAUAAGCCUGGGAAACUGGGUCUAAUACUGGAUAUGACCAAUCACUGCAUGGUGUGUUGGUGGAAAGAUUUUUUGGUGGGGGAUGGACUCGCGGCCUAUCAGCUUGUUGGUGGGGUAAUGGCCUACCAAGGCGACGACGGGUAGCCGGCCUGAGAGGGCGACCGGCCACACUGGGACUGAGACACGGCCCAGACUCCUACGGGAGGCAGCAGUGGGGAAUAUUGCACAAUGGGCGAAAGCCUGAUGCAGCGACGCCGCGUGAGGGAUGACGGCCUUCGGGUUGUAAACCUCUUUCACCAGGGACGAAGCUAACGUGACGGUACCUGGAGAAGAAGCACCGGCUAACUACGUGCCAGCAGCCGCGGUAAUACGUAGGGUGCGAGCGUUGUCCGGAAUUAUUGGGCGUAAAGAGCUUGUAGGCGGUUUGUCGCGUCUGCUGUGAAAGACCGGGGCUUAACUCCGGUUCUGCAGUGGGUACGGGCAGACUAGAGUAUGGUAGGGGAGACUGGAAUUCCUGGUGUAGCGGUGAAAUGCGCAGAUAUCAGGAGGAACACCGAUGGCGAAGGCAGGUCUCUGGGCCAUUACUGACGCUGAGAAGCGAAAGCAUGGGGAGCGAACAGGAUUAGAUACCCUGGUAGUCCAUGCCGUAAACGUUGGGCGCUAGGUGUGGGGGCUCAUUCCACGAGUUCCGUGCCGCAGCUAACGCAUUAAGCGCCCCGCCCGGGGGAGUACGGCCGCAAGGCUAAAACUCAAAGGAAUUGACGGGGGGCCCGCACAAGCGGGCGGAGCAUGCGGAAUUAAUUUCGAUGCAGACGCGAAAGAACCUUUACCAAGGGCUUGGACAUACACCCGGAAUCAUGCAGAAGAUGUGUGCGUUCUCCGGACUGGUUGUACAGGUUGUUGCAUGGGUUGCCGUCAGCCUCGUGUUCGUGAAGAUGUUGGGGUUAAAUUCCCGCCAACGAAGCGCAAACCCUUCGUUUCCAUGUUUGCCCAGCACCUUCAUGG